UGUGUUGGAAAGUCCUAGAGACCAGACAAGGCUUUAAUUGAGUGGUUGCACAGUUGUUUGGACUUGAUUUGGCUGUUGGUCAAGGAAGAUAAAUGCAGAGUGCCCUUCUAUGAUUUACUUCAAAGUGGGUUGCAGUUCAUAGAAAGCAUCCCAGAUAAUGAAGCAUUGUUUAUAGUUAUCCGGGAAAUACAUAGGAGGAGAUUUGAUGGCUAUGCAUAUAUGCCAAGACCUUCAUUACCCACUAUUGGAACUCAUCAGAUUUUGUCGCAGACAAACUCCUAAUGUUUCACUUGAAGCUGCGGCGAACUUGCAAUAUUCACCAAUUACACAUCCAUGUUUGCUUGGAGAACUACUACAUGGAGAGGAUGUUGCAGCUUUUAUCCAGCUCCAGCGGGGUAUUUUAGAAUGAGAGAGAGCUUUACGUUGUAUAAGGAAUGCUAUUCACUCUACAACUACUCAUUGGUGGAAAGGUCUCCUUGUUUCCCCCAAGUAGGAGCGCUUGUCCUAAUUAUCCCCAAAUUAUCAUUCUUGAUUUUAUUAGCAGUUGCCAAAAACUUGUGAAUUGGGAGUUGCAGAAAGGGAAGCAAAUAGGUGAAUGGUGGAAACAAGUGAUUGCAAAGGGCUCCUUUGGUUUGUCAUUGCAUACCAGUGAGGUGCAGUUGGGGGGAGGGGAAAUGGCAGCAACCUCACUGGUCAGCCCUUUGGUUCAGCAUGCCAGUCCGGUGAGAAGCAGCCUCCACCACGCUGGUCAGCCCCAAAUCAACUGGAGAUUUUUGAUUUCAACUAUUACUGGUGAAUUGAGAUACACCAAUGCCAUGAAACUGCUGUAUACCUUAGAGGACGCAACCAAAGGGGAAGAAGCAGAUGAGUUGUGCCGAACUCGGGAGGAGAAAGAUGACAGUUCAUACACUGCCUCAGAAAUGUUUUUUGAGCUGUUGAUGCUGUCAGAAAAGAUAAUAAACAAUAGUUUAGCCUUCUUGAGGAAAAUGGGGAGCUUCUGAUACAUGCAAACCAAGGCCACACCGUCAUGACAGUUGAGUCCGAAAGAUUAUUAAAACAAAUCCUUUCAGCUGAUGAAGUGCAAUGUAAGAACAUCAUGUCUCUUAGAUUUAUGGACUUUCUUUAUGCCUUUUAUUUUGCAUAAUCCUCUUGAUUUUCCCUGAGAUGAUUGUUUGCGUACAUGGAACCUAUAAGAGGAAUUUGGAAUCAAUUUUGGAGUCGGGUUUGAAGCGCAUGAAAAGAUUGCAUGUUCACUUUUCAAGUGGCUUGCCGACUGACGGUGAAGUGAUAAGUGGUAUGAGACGAGAUGUUAAACGUUUUGAUCUAUCUUGAUGUUAGAAAAGCUUUGGAAGAAGGCAUGAAGCUUUACAUUUCAGACAACAAAGUGAUAUUGACUGAGGGUUUUGAUGGGGUGGUACCUGUCAAGUGCUUUGAGAAAAUAGAAUCAUGGCCAGACAGAAAACCUAUACCUGUCUCAAAUGUUUAAAAUUGAAUGAUGAAAUGAUCAGCUUUUUUUUUUUUUACUUUCUUUUAAACCUGUGUGAUGACAAAUUUGUAUUUAUAAAAGAUGACCACCAUUCAUAUUUGUCCAA